GUCAUAGUUAUCAAAUGCUGGCUGUCACCUAAAGGCAACCUCUCCUGACCAAGAAGGACCUUGCUACACUGACCCAACUUACAGCUUCAGCAGUCACUGAGCUUGGAGAACCCUAAGAAAACCCCCAGUCAUCAGUACCAGACCUUGGAUCAGGCCAUGAGAAUGCAGUGCCGUGGAAAUUGAAUCACCUCCAUUUCUCCAACAAGAAGGGGUCCAGCGGCAAAUAACCACUCUCAGAAUCAAGGCUGAAUUACUGCAAAUACUUCGGUAAAGGAGCUUCAGCGCAAGGCAGGAGCUGAUGCUGGCACAUUCUGUGAUUAUUUCUCAUGAGAAGACUUCCCUGCUUACAGGUUUUAUUUUUGCAAGCCAGUGAGACGUUGCAGAAUCCUGCAGAGAUUCCCUUGGAGAGCACAGUGGGCUAGGAAGAAGUAAAGCUUAGGCUGGAAACCAAUUGCUUUCCAGCUCCUUCCAAGACCAACAUGGUAAAAUAAUACAGCUGCAUACAUCGCAGACAAUAUAAUGGUAGAGCAAAUUGCUCUCACAGAAGAAAUCCUGUGCUACUGUACCCCAGAAGCUGUUAUAGGAACAUGUGAGAGAGGUGGAUGGAUCACUUUGGCUUAGAUAGGAAAAGUAUUUCUAUGUGCAUAAGGUGAAAUGACAGCAUUUAAACUAUGAAAGCAGCCAGAAGCUAAAUAUCUAAGAUUCAUGAGAUGUAACAGUCUUUCAAAUCAAGUAACAAGCUUUAAACUGGAGGCCACAACUGGACAUACUUGAAAAAGCAGCUGAAUGCUGGAUAUUUCUCCCUGGUCCAUAUUAAGUUAUGUUUCACAUCAAUAUAGCCUGAAGCUUCAGCAUUUCUAAGGAGAAAAAUGUAUGAAGAAAGAAUGAAUAUUUGAGAUUACAGCACGUUGGAUGAGGUCUUGACUGCUGCAAGCAGACCGUGCUCUACUUUCAGAAUGAAAGACGAAAUCAGGAGGGGAGUAUCCAAUAUCAAUGAGCAUUCAUACAUAGAUCUUUGCUGCCAUUCAUGAUGAGGAGAACUGACUAUACACUUUCAGACAAAAUACAUGCUUCAUGAUUUAUUUCUGUUCAAAAUGGUGUCUGAAAUUUUCCUUUUUCCAUCAACAACAUAAAAAAGAAGCAUCAUCUUAUGAAAACUUUUCAGCUAGCUUAGAAAAUGAUUUAUUUUCAGAACUAUGAAAUUGAUGUUUAAUUUUAUUGUUCACUAAAACCAGGAAAAAAAAAAAAAGGUUAAGUCUUGGGUGGGCAUAAGCUUCUGUCAGUAUUUUUCUCUGAAAAUAUUAACAGUUUCUUGGCCAACUUUUGCAAAGAAUGUGCACUUAGCUAAGUAUAAAUGUUCACAGCACCAUGAACGCCUACAGUGUACUCCUUUGGCUGUAUCAGAAAGGUUUUCUUAAAGGAAUUGAUUUGUGUCCCCAGCUCUUUCCUGACAUUGUAUGUCACCUUGCAGAGGACGCUGGACAUCUCUGUGUCUCUCUGCCUCUGCUCAGGCUGGUUGCUUAUAUAGAUAUCGAUCUCAGAAAAAGUUAAAUCUUUGGAUUGUUGGUGUUCAGGGGAACUUCAUUUCCCCUGCUACAUCUCAGUGAUGCGGUAAUCUGAAUAACAGUAGGCCCAUCUCUUAAAAGACCGUGCUCUGUUGUAUGCCACUAUUGCACAUCUCACCUCUGCGUGCUCUCCGUACAUACGUGUUCUACUUCAGCUUCUUAACCUCCAGAUUUGGAAGUACAGCAAAGCUGACAACUGCAUUGAGUAUUUUUUAAAGACCAGCAGAAAGGAUCCCUGAGGAAUGUCAUCUUCACACGAAAUACGAAACAUCGGUUUUGUUAAGGUAACUUGUUUUAACUGCAUGUCGACAAGAUAUCGUUUGGCUUUUUUCCCCAAUUAGAAGGUGUCGUUUGCAGUGCUUCCCACCAACCAGGAAUCAGGGAGUGUUACCCCGGGACUCCUCGCUGACAGCAAAGGUUGCAAACUGUCCUCAUUAGCAUGCAGCCUAUAGAAAGAAGUGCAAGUAAGGCUUUGCAUUAAGAAAGGAAAGAGUCUGUGCCCCAGAAUACUGAUUGCACUGAACAGCAUUGCUGCAGUAGAAGGUAUUAGGUGCAGAGUGUAAAGAAGGUUUAGCUGCUUCAGGUCAAACAUUUGAUUUUAAAGGACUCCAUAUCUAUUGGUAGCCUAAGCCCUAAGUGAGUAUCAUUUUGCUUUUCACAGUAAGGGUCUUGGGAACUGCGUUUUCUUCUCAGGACUAGCUUCAGGUGUUAGCGGUGAUCUUGCUCUACCAAGGUCACACCUUCAAGCUGAACUUUUCUUGCAAGACCACAUCAGCAUUUCAUUUGGCUCCAAGGGGAGUUUGAUAUGAUGAGGGCAGAACCCAGCCAAAACUGUGCCUGCCAAAUAAACAGCAGGUUCAGAUUUCGACCUGAUUACCAGAAAGUAAUCACCUGAUUACUAGAGGUAUCACUGCAUCAGCUGGCCAAGUCACUCUCAGUUAACCCAUGGGUUGCUCAUGAAAAGAAGUCCAGUGGAAGAGCAGUCAGCACUUCCAACCCAAAUGCUGUAGUCAGUAAAUACAACUGCAUGCAAAUUUCUUCCCCUCAGGUCCUUGCAUCUGCUCAGGUCAUGCCAGAAAUCUCUGUUGCCACAAGCUCCCAAGGGAACUGAAACAAAGGAAGAGCAGUGAAGGGAAACAUAUGCUACGUGUCUUCCUACUCUGCUAAGCUCUCAGACUCUCCUAGAGUCUCCAGGAAUGUCUGUUCCUUGUUUCAAGUCACAAUAGACAUUUUGGACAGCAAUGUUUAAGUUUGAGUCUCAAAAUAUAUAUAUAUAUGAAUGGGGUAAUAUAUUUGGGAGACUUGUGAUAAUAAACUACUUUCUGUAUUGUAUUUAGUGUUAAGGUUACUCAGGCAACCUAGAUACCAAUAUGCAUACAAUUGGGUAUUGAAUCAAUUAUAGGUUUUUCACAGAGCAUUUGCAUUCUGUACCUUGUUAUGAACGUGAUCUGCUGGCACCCUCAAUCAGUAUUUGCUUCACAUACAUAACCCUAUUACUAGAAAUAAUGUAUUGCAAUUAUUGCAUAAAAGCAUAGGUAUUUGUACUGUUUUCCCAUUGUGACGGUGGAUUUUAACUGGCAUGCUUGGUUCUUAUCUGUAUUCUCGUGUAGUUGAGGAUUUUCAGGGCUGCCUUUGGAUGUAUUGUGUAGAGAAAGCUUUUGUAGAAAAUUUCUGUAUUGAAAAAGGAGAGGCUGCAGGUCUUGCUUAGAAUUUGUUCUCCAUCAUCUUCUUUGUUAGCAGCGACGCUAAAAUUGAAAGGUAUGGUCCUUAAAGAGGCUCUGCCCUACUCAUUUACCAGGAAAAAGUUACUCGUAUUGUAUGUGGUUCUUAAUAGACCUCCUAUAAUUGCCUUUUAAAGCUUUUCUACAUAUCAGUUUCCCUCAGAGGUUACAAAAAAGGUCACAGCUGUUGAUGUUUGAAGCUAUCAGGCUGCCUUUUUUCUGUAAGUGCUCCAGUCUGGGAUCCAGGUGAAGUCAACUGGAUUUAUUAAUUUGAUCUGGGUUCAUCUUUCUCAGCUGUUGCUUUGGAAUGAAAACUUUCUGGAAAGGAGAAGUAACAGUUCUGAUAAUAUGUGCUAAAGACUUACAUCUUUUUACACUUCCAGGGCAUUUUAGACAAUCAGUUGUUAUUUCAUUAAGGACUUAGACAUACAAGUUAGAAACAGGUCUCUGUAAUAUUAGGUGCAGCAUCAAAUGUAGCAGAUUAGAAAGCUUUUGUCUGUGAUCAGAGAUGGGCUCUGUUUCAUAUGGCUCUGUUAAAGGCAACAGAAUGAAACACUCCAUUGCCAGAACUGGUAGGGACUGCUUGCCCCAGCUGGAGGUCCUGCAUUUUUCCAUUUCUACUCCAAAGGAAACAAAUGUCAAGUAUAGUUAUGACAAUUCUCAGUGUCACUCAGAUGUUCAUCUCAAGUACAUUACUUGCGUUUUCUUUUCCUCACACAAUUCAGUGUGAAGAGACAGAUUAUAAAAGUUAUCACUGAACCCUGUUUGUGCACAUUUGCAGAUCUCUCUGGGAAUUUAUUUUGGGCAAAAUAUGUUAAGGUAAAGAAAUCCAGUCCCAGCUCAUUUUCAGGAUAUAUUUAAUUUUAUACAUAUCAGCAAUCCCACCAAAUUCAGUAAAACUACAGAAUUCUUUAAAUAAAGUACAAACAUGAAGUCUGUUACAAAACCUGUGAAAUUUUGAACUCUGAUUAUCAAACUUUCCCUAUUAUGCAAAAUAAGCUAAGUAAUUCUGGGAUUUAGAUAUAUUUUUAGAAAGGAGUGAUAACUUUUCAUGGUCACAGAUUGCUAAAUGCAUAGAUAACUUCUUCACAUUCUAAAUCUCAAUGCACCAAUGAGAAAUGAAGCUAUAACUCAGUAUAAACUGACUUUAUUUGUUCAGUCUUUGCAACACAAUGACUUUUAAUGAGUACAAUCUGAAGACAACAAUUAGUGCACAUUUUAGAUAAGUGAUUUUGGAGGUCAUAGGUUUUGACUGCCUGUCUAACAAUAGUUUUUAGUAAAUUGAUUUUCAGAGUGUUCAUAACUUCUUAAUGCUUUCCAAAACAGGCUCCAGCAGUAGGGAUUUUAAAGAGUCUCUCUCUGCACAACCUGCAGCAUCAUUCCAAGAUGCUUUGCCCCUUUGUGGCUAGGGCAUUUAAUUGAAAUAGAUCAGACAGGACAUUCUGCAACAACAUUUAUCUUCAAAGACUUCCUAGAUAUUGCCUUCUUAAAGUUCUAUUGGGUCUAGCAACAGUUUUUAAAUUGAUUAAAUCACAUAAAUAAAGGAAUUACUAUAAGUGUAUUUCAAAGGAUCAAAAAGAAUCUCCUUGCUUUCAUGCACCUCUCUCUUUAUUUUUUCCCCAGAGUCUAAACAUUAGUAGGAAUCAGGACUUCAUGUUUUAGUCACAGUUUUUAAGUGCACUCUAGAGAAGAAAUCAAUGAAAAGUAACAAAGAGCAAGGAAAAGAAGUAAUGUACGCUGGUUAACAAGUAGAAUGGGUAAGUCUUCUUGACUGAUGGGAGAGAUUAUCCAACGCAAUUGUUCAUUUUAGCAUAUACAUUUAGUUUUCGACAGGAGAAACUCAAAGACCAACCAUAACACCUUUGUAGUUCAUUCUUUGUGUUGAUUGCACAAGACUGGUGUUACAGGAAUAUUCCACUGGCCCUAGCUGUCAGCAAGGGCAUUCAGGAACACCACUAGAUCUCUCAUGUUAGUGAAACCUCUGUGACAGGGUAUAGCUGAUGGGGUUUUGUCUAGUUUAUUUUCAACCUCUUGAUAGCAGCAACAGAGAGAAAUAUUGUCCAUUUAGUCUCAUACACUACGCCUACCUGUUGUUCACACUUUUGAGAAAGAGAAGCGAACCCAUAAUGUCUCUGUCUUACUGUUCAGAUUUGUGUGCUUAGGACUUGUAGAGUACCUGCUGGAAGGCCUGUCUUCAGUUGUUCGAAAUUUGUAGUGCUCUGCACAAAGAUCCAUGUUCAUAGUUGAUCAGUUUCCAUUAGUUUCCCAAGCAGGAAGUUGAUAAUUAUUUCUGGUAACUUAUGUCUCACAUUUUGCUAGUAAAAUAUAUAAAUGAAAAUAAUUUAUGGAAAGAAGUAUCAAUCCAUGCAUUGCUGAUUUUGAUUAGUCAUCACUUGCUAAUAUUUUUGAGAUGAUACAGGCAUCUAAAUCACAUCCUGCUGUUUCUGCCUCCUUAUUGGAUAAUUAAAAAUAAAAAUAAAAAUGAAGCCUAUUAAAUGACAUCUAAAAACAUGUAAAAUCAUGUGCUUGGUCUGAAUUUCCAGACUAAUCAGCACAAAUAAGAACAUUUCAAAUGUUUUAAAAGCAUUUCUAGGGAAAAUAAAAAUAAAAGGAAGAAAAGAAGAAAGAAACUUUACAGAAUGGUGAUUAGAAUGUCUCCGAAUUCUGUAUUCCUAUUUUUUUUUAGGAAAUUCUGAAAUAUUUGAAAGGUUCAUUUUUUGUUUGGAAUAAAAAUUAAAAUAUGCAAUUUCUAAUUGAGGAGGAAACCCCAAAUAUCUCAGUUUGGAAUUAUCAAUUAUAAAAUGAAAUGUUUAGCUCUCUUUACUUGUGUUAUCUUGGCAUUCUGAAAGAUUGAAGAAUGUUCUGGAAAGGCUCCAGCAUAACCUAAGGAGAAAGUUAGGGGCAUUGAAAUCUGAGGUAUAAUUGAGGCUUUCUAAGCUUCCGUCCAAAACCAAAAAAUCAUAGGUCUUGAAAGCUUUGGCUGAGCCAUUGUGUUUGGACACAGCCCUUAGACAACUAGCUUUCAAACUACUCAUCAGCUCAAUGAAAAUGAGCUAUUUCUGAAAACACUGUGCUUUCAGGUAAAGACAUCUUUCUCUUUAAAGGAAGGUAUUCUUGCAUUGCAGAAUACCUCAUGAGCUAAACUGAUGAAUGAUGUUAGUCCUCAAAUAAUUGUGGAGUUAUCACUUCAUACUGGCUUGCAUAAAUAUUAACUGUGCCAUGAAAAGUUUUCAUUUUUAAUAUGCAUUUGUCAAGAAAUUUGAUUGACUUUUAUGACACAUUCUCAGAAUUUCUGCUGUGUAUUUCAAUUUACAUUUUUGUAGGUUUUUUGUUUUUGUUUGUAUCUAGAAGCAUCAUAUUUUCUCAAGGAAAAGAGUCUGCUCUCAGAGAAAGCUGCAAUUUCACUACUUCAGAUAAGAUAAAUGGGUGUGCUGUUUAUAUACUCUGAAACUGAAAUGUGAUGGACUUAUUGUAAUCUGGGUUCUUUUAAUUUUCCAGAGCAUCUUUCUUUGUACACUUGCGCGUGUUCCUUGUGUGUAGGAACAACUGGGGAACAGAAUGCAAUGUUGUAAAUAAGUUUAUUUGUAUCAGAAUAUCAUUAAUUUCAAUUUAAAAUUAAAAUAAAUAAAUAA